UACGAAGGGGGCUAGCGUUGCUCGGAAUCACUGGGCGUAAAGCGCACGUAGGCGGAUUGUUAAGUCAGGGGUGAAAUCCUGGAGCUCAACUCCAGAACUGCCUUUGAUACUGGCGAUCUCGAGUCCGGGAGAGGUGAGUGGAACUACGAGUGUAGAGGUGAAAUUCGUAGAUAUUCGCAAGAACACCAGUGGCGAAGGCGGCUCACUGGCCCGGUACUGACGCUGAGGUGCGAAAGCGUGGGGAGCAAACAGG
rnacentral:rRNA from 1 species